ACAGCAGCCGCCACGGUAAUACGGAGGGUGCAAGCGUUAAUCGGAAUUACUGGGCGUAAAGCGCACGCAGGCGGUCUGACAAGUCAGAUGUGAAAUCCCCGGGCUUAACCUGGGAACUGCAUUUGAAACUGUCAGGCUGGAGUCUUGUAGAGGGGGGUGGAAUUCCAGGUGUAGCGGUGAAAUGCGUAGAGAUCUGGAGGAAUACCGGUGGCGAAGGCGGCCCCCUGGACAAAGACUGACGCUCAGGUGCGAAAGCGUGGGGAGCAAACAGGAUUAGAUACCCGGGUAGUCCCUGUCUCUUAUAC
rnacentral:rRNA from 1 species